UCCAAAAGUUUUCUGAUGCACGCCUGC
rnacentral:piRNA from 1 species